UACGUAGGGGGCUAGCGUUGUCCGGAAUCAUUGGGCGUAAAGAGCGUGUAGGCGGCCCGGUAAGUCCGCUGUGAAAGUCCAGGGCUCAACCCUGGGAUGCCGGUGGAUACUGUCGGGCUCGAGUCCGGAAGAGGCGGAGUGGAAUUCCUGGUGUAGCGGUGGAAAUGCGCAGAUAUCAGGAGGAACACCAAUGGCGAAGGCAGCUCGCUGGGACGUGACUGACGCUGAGACGCGAAAGCGUGGGGAGCAACAGG
rnacentral:rRNA from 1 species